rnacentral:rRNA from 1 species
AUUGAACGCUGGCGGCAGGCCUAACACAUGCAAGUCGAGCGUAUGAAGGGAGCUUGCUCCUGGAUUCAGCGGCGGACGGGUGAGUAAUGCCUAGGAAUCUGCCUGGUAGUGGGGGAUAACGUCCGGAAACGGGCGCUAAUACCGCAUACGUCCUGAGGGAGAAAGUGGGGGAUCUUCGGACCUCACGCUAUCAGAUGAGCCUAGGUCGGAUUAGCUAGUUGGUGGGGUAAAGGCCUACCAAGGCGACGAUCCGUAACUGGUCUGAGAGGAUGAUCAGUCACACUGGAACUGAGACACGGUCCAGACUCCUAAGGGAGGCAGCAGUGGGGAAUAUUGGACAAUGGGCGAAAGCCUGAUCCAGCCAUGCCGCGUGUGUGAAGAAGGUCUUCGGAUUGUAAAGCACUUUAAGUUGGGAGGAAGGGCAGUAAGUUAAUACCUUGCUGUUUUGACGUUACCAACAGAAUAAGCACCGGCUAACUUCGUG